rnacentral:rRNA from 1 species
UACGGGGGGUGCGAGCGUUGUCCGGAAUCACUGGGCGUAAAGGGCGCGUAGGUGGCCUGAUAAGGGUGUGGUGAAAGUCCGGGGCUCAACCCCGGAUCGGCCGUGCCGACUGUUAGGCUAGAGUACUGUAGGGGCAGGCGGAAUUCCGGGUGUAGCGGUGGAAUGCGUAGAGAUCCGGAGGAAGACCGGUGGCGAAGGCGGCUCACUGGCCCGGUACUGACGCUGAGGUGCGAAAGCGUGGGGAGCAAACAGG